GAUGAACGCUGGCGGCGUGCCUAAUACAUGCAAGUCGAGCGAACAGACGAGGAGCUUGCUCCUUCGACGUUAGCGGCGGACGGGUGAGUAACACGUAGGUAACCUACCUAUAAGACUGGGAUAACUUCGGGAAACCGGAGCUAAUACCGGAUAAUAUUUCGAACCGCAUGGUUCGAUAGUGAAAGAUGGCUUUGCUAUCACUUAUAGAUGGACCUGCGCCGUAUUAGCUAGUUGGUAAGGUAACGGCUUACCAAGGCAACGAUACGUAGCCGACCUGAGAGGGUGAUCGGCCACACUGGACCUGAGACACGGUCCAGACUCCUACGGGAGGCAGCAGUAGGGAAUCUUCCGCAAUGGGCGAAAGCCUGACGGAGCAACGCCGCGUGAGUGAUGAAGGUCUUCGGAUCGUAAAACUCUGUUAUUAGGGAAGAACAAACGUGUAAGUAACUGUGCACGUCUUGACGGUACCGAAUCAGAAAGCCACGGCUAACUACGU
rnacentral:rRNA from 1 species